rnacentral:rRNA from 1 species
AUGGGUGUUGGCUCAAAUAAUUCUCAUUGGUCUUAAACCAAUGAAGUGCAUUUAGAUGAUCAUGACUUUGAGGUGGAUGAGGAUGGUUAGGGCGCCGUCAAUGCACCGAAAGGAAGAGCGGGCAACUACACCAUGGACGAAGAUAUCUCGCUAAGCAAUACAUGGUUGAAAGUGUCUAGGGAUGCCACCAUUGGAGGGGACCAAAGUAGAGAUGCAUAUUGGAUCCGGAUGAAGGAGCACUUUGAUUUACACAACAGUAGUGGAAUUGGCCGCACAGAAAGAUCUCUUCGCUCCCGGUGGUCGACAAUCAACAAAGAUUGUCAAAGGUGGGCGGCCGCACUUAAGGCAGUUGAUACGAUAAACCCAAGUGGCACUAAUGAUAGAGAUAGGGUAAGUGAUUCUUCCAUGUUCAUGUGCUUCUUCUUUGGUGUUUCAAGUGCUAACUUGUUCUUUUGUUUGUCGCUCACUAUUGCACAAAACUCGUUUCACGGAGAGGAGAAGAAGACCAUGAAAAGGAAGAUCAAGAAAGGGAGACCAAUUAUCUUGCCCCAUUGCUACGAUGUGUGGCAGGAUGAUGAGAAAUGGAAGCCCCGUGAAGGUGUCGAAGAGGAGAGCAACAAACGCAAGCGAACUAUUGAUUUGGAUGAUGAGGAGGAGGAGGCAUCAAGUGAUGAUGGCAAGAGAAGCCCUACACCAAACUCAGUUGCCUACUGCAAGCCAAAAAUACCAAAUGGAGGGAAGAAAGAUGCAAAAGAAAAGAAGAAGAGGAAAGGAGAUGAUGAGUUAAAAAUGAUAUAG